rnacentral:lncRNA from 1 species
AGGAGCCAAAUCCUUUUAUAGCUGAUAUGAAACAGUCUGUUUUAAGUACAUCUGUUUAGAAAGUGUUAUUUAUAUAUUCAAAGUCAUAUAACACUAACCUGCUUUGACUGCAUUCAGCAAAAGGCAGUUUCAUCAUUAGUUUCACAGUAAACUUUUUUGAAGGAUUCUAGUUCCAAAAUGCCUGAAAACAUUAACCAUAUUCUUGUUUUAAACUCUAGGAUCUAAUAAAUUUAAUUCUUUGAUAGUCUUUUUGUAGAUUUAAGUUACCCCUUACUAAAAGUAAUUAUAGUAAUAGUCAUUUGUCAGUUCUUUAAGGUAUUGAGGCAUUUGAGACAAGAAAGCUCUCUUAGAAUAGUCCAAUAGCUUUCUUCAAUGGUAUUGGUUUCAUUUAGAUAGUUUCAAAGCCAGCAAAGCAUGUUAGUUUUAAGGCCAACAUUAUUUGGCAGUUAAAAUAGUUUGCAUUUGUAAAAAGUUUAGCCUGAAUUACCCUUGCUAUCUCUGUAGAGAAUUGUUAGUAUCAUCAAAAACAGAUUGCUUCAGGUGACCCUUGAGAAAGGAAAGAGGUUGAAGGUUUUUUUCCCUCUCUGUCUUUGAGUGGCUUUGAAUGACUGAAAUUAUCAUGGAAGUAGGUUUUGGUCCCUCUCUUAUCUACCUCUCACCCCCAGCAAAUGCCAACAAUAUCAGGUAACUAAAAUGUGGCUUACUGCUUUGCAUCAAGGUCACUAAAAAUAUCUAUGAAAUCUGUAAGUCAUAAUUCAGCUACCAAUAAAGUUGGUUUUUAGAAUAUGUUCUACCCUAAAUUAACCAAAAGACUUUUUAUUCAGUGUACUCUAUGUUUAAAUAUAAGGAAGCUUUGUGCCUAAUAUGGAGGGAGAAGGAAUGUUGUGUUAAUUUCAUUGUUAUUUCAGGUCUGUUUCAAUCUGAACUACUGGGUUGUCUGAAGAUAGCCAAGCAAUGUUAUCAGUUAGUAAUGUCAUCUUAAAAAUGCUUAAUUUUAGUAACUAUUUGUUCAGAGAUUGUUAGAUUGUUAGGACAAUUGAAGUAUUUCUGAUACAGAACAAAGAAAGUAGAAACUGGUACUUACUGGGGAAAGCAAAAUUGGCAUGGACUAAAAUGGGCAUGUUUUGUUUAAGAAUUCUACCUAAAUGUCACCUUAUCUACACAAAACUAGUAUUACUUGAAGAUGUGAAAGUUCCUGUGGUAGCGAUACCUUGAAGCACAGUAUUGUAUAUAAGUAAAUAUCUUGAUUCUAAAUUAUAUCCAGAUUUAACUAAUAUAUAUUAUUUUAUAUCUUUGUUGUAUUAAAAUGUUUAAAAACACUAAAAAUAAAACAUUUGAAAGCUG